rnacentral:rRNA from 1 species
GAUGAACGCUGGCGGCGUGCCUAAUACAUGCAAGUCGAGCGAAUGGAUUAAGAGCUUGCUCUUAUGAAGUUAGCGGCGGACGGGUGAGUAACACGUGGGUAACCUGCCCAUAAGACUGGGAUAACUCCGGGAAACCGGGGCUAAUACCGGAUAACAUUUUGAACCGCAUGGUUCGAAAUUGAAAGGCGGCUUCGGCUGUCACUUAUGGAUGGACCCGCGUCGCAUUAGCUAGUUGGUGAGGUAACGGCUCACCAAGGCAACGAUGCGUAGCCGACCUGACAGGGUGAGCGGCCACACUGGGCCUGAGACACGGCCCAGACUCCUACGGGAGGUAGCAGUAGGGAAUCUUCCGCAAUGGACGAAAGUCUGACGGAGCAACGCCGCGUGAGUGAUGAAGGCUUUCGGGUCGUAAAACUCUGUUGUUAGGGAAGAACAAGUGCUAGUUGAAUAAGCUGGCACCUUGACGGUACCUAACCAGAAAGCCACGGCUAACUACGUGCCAGCAGCCGCCGUAA